rnacentral:rRNA from 1 species
CCUACGGGAGGCUGCAGUGGGGAAUAUUGCACAAUGGGGGAAACCCUGAUGCAGCGACGCCGCGUGAGUGAAGAAGUAAUUCGUUAUGUAAAGCUCUAUCAGCAGGGAAGAAAAUGACGGUACCUGAGUAAGAAGCCCCGGCUAACUACGUGCCAGCAGCCGCGGUAAUACGUAGGGGGCAAGCGUUAUCCGGAUUUACUGGGUGUAACGGGAGCGUAGACGGCAGGGCAAGUCUGGAGUGAAAGGCGGGGGCUCAAACCCCGGACUGCUCUGGAAACUGUACGGCUGGAGUGCAGGAGAGGUAAGUGGAAUUCCUAGUGUAGCGGUGAAAUGCGUAGAUAUUAGGAGGAACACCAGUGGCGAAGGCGGCUUACUGGACUGUAACUGACGUUGAGGCUCGAAAGCGUGGGGAGCAAACAGGAUUAGAUACCCCAGUAGUC